rnacentral:rRNA from 1 species
GAUGAACGCUAGCGGCAGGCUUAAUACAUGCAAGUCGAGGGGCAACAGGUGUAGCAAUACAUGCUGGCGACCGGCGCACGGGUGCGUAACACGUAUGCAAUCUGCCUCUUACAGGGGGAUAGCCCGGAGAAAUUCGGAUUAAUACCCCAUAACAUAUUGAACGGCAUCGUUUGAUAUUAAAAGUUCCGACGGUAAGAGAUGAGCAUGCGACUGAUUAGCUAGUUGGUGAGGUAACGGCGCACCAAGGCUACGAUCAGUAGGGGUUCUGAGAGGAUUAACCCCCACAAUGGUACUGAGACACGGACCAGACUCCUACGGGAGGCAGCAGUAAGGAAUAUUGGACAAUGCCCGCAAGGGUGAUCCAGCCAUGCCGCGUGCAGGAAGACGGACCUAUGGUUUGUAAACUGCUUUUGUACAAGAGAAAACCCCUCUACGUGUAGAGGGCUGAUAGUAUUGUAAGAAUAAGCAUCGGCUAACUUCGUGCCAGCAGCCGCGGUAACAC